GGCGGCGGCUUCAACUUCUCCGCUUCCACUCGUGUGAGGCUAGGAGUCCGGGAUGUAAAAAGCAGGAGAAAGCGGAGGCAGGCCCGGGUUGUGAAGGGGAAAGAGGGAACUUGCACCCGGAUACAAUUUUACCACCUGGGCAAGAGGAAGAAAGGCUUUCCUCCAAAGGUCCAGCCAUGAGAAGCCACUAUACUUUGAACUCCUACUAUUUUACUCCAGUGAAUUUCUUGUUCUAACAGUCUUCCCAACUCCCCUACCUCCUCUGUAGAAGAACCAACUCUCCUUUGUUCUCUGGACUUGCCUAUGGUUUUGCUGUAGUUUUCUUGCCCUGGAUGGCAAUUCUCUGCUAUUCCUGGAUAAACCUAUUUUUGCUAGUAAAGUAA